AACUGCUGCACAAGGAGUGUUCGAUUGGACUCCUUUUCACACAAUGAACAACCAGCUUAGAACUGAUGCGGGCAAGGGGAAUCCGACUGUUUAAUUGAAACAAAGUAUUGCGAUGCCCUGAAAGGAUGUUGACACAAUGUGAUUUCUGCCCAGUGCUCUGAAUGUCAAAGUGAGGAGAUUCAACUAAGCGCGGGUAAACGGCGGGAGUAACUAUGACUCUCUUAAGGUAGCCAAAUGCCUCGUCAUCCAAUUAGUGACGCGCAUGAAUGGAUUAAUGAGAUUCCUACUGUCCCAAUCUACUGUCCAGCGAAACCACAGCCAAGGGAACGGGCUUGGGUGAGUCAGCGGGGAAAGAAGACCCUGUUGAGCUUGACUCUAAUCCGACUUUGUGAAAUGACUUAGGAGGAGUAGGAUAUGUGGGAGCUCAGGUGAUCUUGAAAUACCACUACUUUUAAUGUCACUUUACUUACUCUAUCCAACUGUGCCCUGCCUCACAGCAGGUUUUUGCUUUUAAGGUUGCUCUUUUGGCGUGUUGAUUUGCGUAAAAAACGUCGUCCGGUGGGGAGUUUGGCUGGGGCGGCACAUCUGUUAAAGGAUAACGCAGGUGUCCUAAGGUGAGCUCAAUGAGAACAGAAAUCUCAUGCGGAUCAAAAGGGGAAACGCUUGCUUGAUUUUGCUUUUCAGUGUGAAGAUAAACUGUGCAAACAUGGCCUAUUGAUCCUUUAG
rnacentral:rRNA from 1 species